rnacentral:rRNA from 1 species
AGAAUGAACGCUAGCGAUAUGCUUAACACAUGCAAGUUGAACGUUGUUUUCGAGUCAAAAUGAAAACAAAGUGGCGAACGGGUGCGUAACACGUGGGAAUCUGCCAAACAGUUUGGGCCAAAUCCUGAAUGAAUGAAAGCUAAAAAGCGCUGUUUGAUGAGCCCACGUAGUAUUAGGUAGUUGGUUAGGUAAAAGCUGACCAAGCCUACGAUGCUUAGCUGGUCUUUUCGGAUGAUCAGCCACACUGGGACUGAGACACGGCCCAGACUCCUACGGGAGGCAGCAGUUGGGAAUCUUGGACAAUGGGGGAAACCCUGAUCCAGCCAUGCCGCGUGAGUGAUGAAGGCCUUCGGGUUGUAAACUCUUUCGACGGGGACGAUAAUGACGGUACCCGUAGAAGAAGCUCCGGCUAACUUCGUGCCAGCAGCCGC